GGGCGACACGGGCACUCAUUUGUGGGUCGCGCAAAGAAUCCAGUACGCCGCACACAACACACACACACACAGAGAAGCAGGCAUACAGAUAGACAGACGACUAAUCCAACGGGCUCUCCAUUGCUCUUUUUUUUCCUGUAUGUGUGUUUUUGAGGGGGAGGGGCCUCUUGUGAGGGUUUGCUUGUCCCCAGCGUCGCCGCGUGUAGACGACAUUAUUGCCCGAUACUCGCGGCGAUACAGAAAUCUAUAAAGUAACCGGGGCUGAACAGCUUGGAUGUGAGUCGGUGCCUUUGUUUGGCUUUUGAUCUCACGGAGCGAAGAGCAAGCAGUGCGCGAGAAGGGAGCACGCUUGUCAUCGCACCGAGAGGCAGAGCAGGCGGAGUCGGAACAAGCAAACAAGAAGGGGGGACGUCUUUUCCGCUGCUGCUCGACGGAUUAGAAGAUCAAAAGCUCGGUUGCCUUGCUUUGGUUCGUCCCUGGGCGUCAGGACUCUCUACGCACUCCCUGUACCCUUUCCCUGCACCCGGCUGCAGGAAAGCCCUCUACUCGUGGCAUUCGUGCACAGCAACAUGUUCCGUCAUCACGGGCGUCUCUGUGCGGCGGUGGCGGCUGCAGUGGCCGCAAAAGCGGGUGAGUCAGCAAGCAGCUGCUCCUCUAAAUCGUCGUCCCUCAUGCACGCGGUGGAGUCUGUCUCGCCGAUGCCGGUGUACUUGAAGCCGUCGAGCAGCCCACAGCGCAAGGCGAGCUUUUAUUUUCCCCGCAUGCGGGAGAAGUGCCCCCCGGACUACGCUUUUCAGCCCAGCUCGCUCGGGACAGCGUUGCCACUGUUCAGUAUCACGUCAUCCUCGUGCGAGUACUACGCCUUACGGCUGCCGCUCUUGAAGGCUGGGUUCCGCCGCGUCCCUGCAGAGGCUCGCGACGUGGCGAGCAACCUCGUGUGGGGACGCUCGAUGCGGUUCUGCGAGAUGCUGCGCGGCGGCCAGCCGACCCCGUUGCUCGACUUUCCCGCUGCUGAUUCGUCUGAGCAGGCAGCCUACAUGGACAAGCUUCGCAUGAUAAACUCUCACCAGCGGUACAACCACUUUCCCCUUAGCCACGCCAACCUCGGCUGCAAGCGAGGGAUGGCGGUGAAUGUGCGCCGGGCCUUCAAGGAUGCCAUGCAGCGUGCCACUACGCCAGGAGAGCGGAAGGCGGUGCAGUCGCGCUACAGCUACAUGCCACGCACCUGGUUCUAUCCACAGGAACGCGAGAGUUUGGUGACGGCCAUGAAGGCCGCACCCAGCAAUCGGCACUUCAUCUGGAAGCCGUCUCGAGGCAGCUGUGGCCGAGGCAUCUUGAUGUCGCAAGGCGGCACGGCGCACGCGCCGUCGUGGGAGCGCAUCAUGGAGGAGAUUGACUGUAAGGCAGCCUCUAAGGAGACUCGGCGGCUCUUCAGCAGCUACGUUGUGCAGGAGUACAUUGAGAAUCCUCUUCUUGUGGAGGGUCGGAAGGUGGAUCUGCGCCUGUACGUUGCUGUCACAUCCUACAACCCACUCACCGUCUACUGGCACGAGGAGGGGCUGGUGCGAUUUGCAGCUGAGCCCUAUAGCGACGCUACUAGCGCAUCAUCCUCGAGUAUCGACGGUGACGGGAUGGAAGUGGGCGACGGAGCCGGUCUACCAGGCGCUCUUACUGGUGACACGAGCCGCGAAAGCGCUGCUUCUCGCAAUAGGGGCGAUCACGACAGCGGCAGUGCGGCUCUGUCGGAUCACUGCCCAAAGCACAUGCACGACCGUUUCCGUCACCUGACAAACUAUUCGGUCGGCAGGCGUUACGUUGCCACGCAUGGCAACGGCCGUUCCGUGCUAUCCUUUCCGACGGAAACCAACGCGGUUGACGGGGAUGAAGCCGCACCUGCGCUCAAAUGGUCUCUCCAACGGCUGUGGGACUACAUUGAUGCUGGCGGUGGCAGUACUGUGACGAUCGGAACAGGAGUGGCACCGGCUCGACGCGCCUCCGAUGCGGUGCGCGAGGAAAUUGCCCAGCUGAUCACGCGCACCUUGAUGGCGGUUCGGCCUGUCGUCAACGAUGCUGUCCGCCGUGUGCCGAUGCCGGGCAGCUACUUUGAGCUCUACGGCUUCGACGUCAUGCUCGAUGCCAGCCUCAAUCCGUUUCUCAUUGAAGUCAACACGCUGCCGUCACUUGAGAGCAGCUCGACGUUCGACUACGCCACCAAGACGAACGUGGUGGCUGACCUGCUCAAUUUGGCCAUGCUAGAGCCGUUCGAGAGGAAUAUGGCACCAGGUAGCACGCUCUGGAACUCGUCCCAGCUGCGCGAAGACCUACACGGCCCCCUCGCAGCAAAGGAUGGGGGGCUUUUCCACGCUGCGGAGACGGGCGACGUCGAUGUGGUUGCUUGCGGCAACGCUGCUGUAGCCCGCGAGGACGUGGAGCUGCGCAUGAGGGACGAGCUUGCCUACGCCCGCGGCUUCCACCGCAUCUUCCCCGCGAAGACGCUUUCAGGGACGUCUUCGCAGCAAAUAAAAAUGGAAAGCUCAGCCAGCUUCUCGGGCUUGUCAGCACCACCGACUUUGCACCAGCCACUUGACUUGUUGGCGAUGUGCUCCUCCUACCUGGCAGACUUGCACGCGUAUGAGUCACAGGGCCUUCUCAGUGAGGAGGAUACGUGGGCGUUGGCGUCGUGAUCUUCUUGUUCUUUUUUGUUUUCUCAUGUCCGGUGACGACACUAAACCCAUGCGCACGUCUACACGCUCAUGCUACUUGUGCGCGAGUACCGCGCUGCGGCAUUUUUGCCCGGGCAACGAGAGGCGAAGAGGGAGCAUAGCGAGAUUGAGGGAAGAGAGUUUUUUUUUGGGGGGGGCCUUGAUCUUCCUGAAAUGUGCCUACUGUAGCUUGUGUGGUCCUUGCUUCCCUGAAGGGAUGCCGACGUCUUUCGGGUGGUGCAUCUCCCUUCCUGCUCACUCAGCAGCUCUCCGUGUGAAUGUUCGCCAGUACGCGUCUCUCUUUGCGCCUGUCAGUCUGUCUCUGAUGCUCAUCGAAAUCGGUGAGCCUGCGCCUCCUUUGCAAGCGAAUAUGUGGAAGGGUGGGCACGAUGAUUUUGACAGUGCGGCAGCGCGAUGGUGCCGCGAAGGGAGCAGGAAAGGAAGUGGGUAUGCCGGUGCAAGACACAGGCACAUGCAUCGUUCAAGGAGGAAGAGAAGGAGAGGCAUUCGAUGUUCCGUGGAUUCCUAAGUCUCUGCGUGCCACUUUGACUCCAGUCCGCGCUCUCUUGAUUUGCUAACGUGCCAUGUGAUCCCGCGAGGUGGACAUCUUUCUUGCCCUUCGCCCUACCGCCGCCCCGCCGCCUUUCCUCGCCCCCCCCCUCCCCCAACCUCUCUUCUUGUUGUGGUCAUGAAUGCUGCGAUGUGCUCUUACUACUUUUACCUUCCCCAUCCCUCAUCUUCACAG
rnacentral:misc_RNA from 1 species